GACGAACGCUGGCGGCGUGCUUAACACAUGCAAGUCGAACGGAAAGGCCCCUUUGGGGGUACUCGAGUGGCGAACGGGUGAGUAACACGUGAGUAACCUGCCCUUGACUUCGGGAUAACUUCAGGAAACUGGGGCUAAUACCGGAUAGGAAUCCUUGCUGCAUGGUGGGGGUUGGAAAGCUUCGGCGGUUUUGGAUGGACUCGCGGCUUAUCAGCUUGUUGGUGGGGUAGUGGCUUACCAAGGCUUUGACGGGUAGCCGGCCUGAGAGGGCGACCGGCCACAUUGGGACUGAGAUACGGCCCAGACUCCUACGGGAAGCAGCAGUGGGGAAUAUUGCACAAUGGGCGGAAGCCUGAUGCAGCAACGCCGCGUGCGGGAUGACGGCCUUCGGGUUGUAAACCGCUUUCAGCAGGGGCGAAGCUUGUGGUGACGGUACCUGCAGAAGAAGCACCGGCUAACUACGUG
rnacentral:rRNA from 1 species